UACGUAGGGUGCAAGCGUUUAAUCGGAAUUACUGGGCGUAAAGCGUACGCAGGCGGCUUUGCAAGACAGGUGUGAAAUCCCCGGGCCUAACCUGGGAACUGCAUUUGUGACUGCAUGGCUAGAGUUUGUCAGAGGGGGGUGGAAUUCCACGUGUAGCAGUGAAAUGCGUAGAUAUGUGGAGGAACACCGAUGGCGAAGGCAGCCCCCCUGGGAUGUGACUGACGCUCAUGUACGAAAGCGUGGGGAGCAAACAGG
rnacentral:rRNA from 1 species